CGUCGUAAGCACACCUCUAAGAGUCUAAAGUGUGCAAUAAUGAUUAUUCUCAUAUAUGUCAGGUCAAAGUGCAGCUUAUGAAAGGGAGAUGAUGGGUUACACCCUAUAUAAAGAUACCAAUUUUAACAUUAAAAGCUAAAUAAAGGUGGACUUGGACGUAAUUAUAAUUCAAUGUUAUAACGAAAACGAAUCUAAGACAUGUACACAUCGCCCGUCACUCUCGCCUAAAGGCGAGAUAAGUCGUAACAAAGUAGGUGUAACGGAAGUUGCACCUGU
rnacentral:rRNA from 1 species